CCGGGGUUGGCGCUUCUAUCGGAGCCGGAGUAGGUGCUUCCAUGGGUGUCGGCGUAGGCGCUUCCAUGGGUGCUGGGGUAGGCGCUUCUGCCGGAGCCGGAGGAGGCGCUUCCAUGGGUGUCGGAGUAGGUGCUUCUAUGGGUGAUGGCGGAGGAGGAAUGAUUGUUGGUGACGGAGAAGGAGUUUCUACAACUGGCGGUGGGGGAGGAGAAGGAGACGGGGGCAACGAAGGGGGAGGGAGAAGGGGAGGCGGCAGUGGUGGUGGGGAACCUGGAGGUGGGGGUGAAGGUGAAGGUGGCGGUGGAGGCGACGAUGGAGGCGG
rnacentral:lncRNA from 1 species